rnacentral:rRNA from 1 species
AAUCAACGCUGGCGGCGUGCCUAACACAUGCAAGUCGAACGCGAAAGUCCCGCAAGGGAUUAGUAGAGUGGCAAACGGGUGAGUAACACGUGGGUGACCUGCCUUCGAGCGGGGGAUAACGUCCCGAAGGGACGCUAAUACCGCAUAACAUCCUGCCUUUAAGAGGCGGUGAUCAAAGCCGGGGAUUCGCAAGAACCUGGCACUUGAAGAGGGGCCCGCGCCUGAUUAGCUAGUUGGUGGGGUAANGGCCUACCAAGGCAACGAUCAGUAUCCGGCCUGAGAGGGCGGACGGACACACUGGGACUGAGACACGGCCCAGACUCCUACGGGAGGGCAGCAGUGGGGAAUUGUUCGCAAUGGGCGCAAGCCUGACGACGCAACGCCGCGUGGAGGAUGAAGACCUCGGU